rnacentral:rRNA from 1 species
GACAGAGGUCUCAAGCGUUAGGCGGGAUCACUGGGCUUAAAGCGUGUGUAGGCGGAUCGUUAAGUGCCUUGUGAAAUCCCACGGCUCAACCGUGGAACUGCUUGGCAUACUGGCGGUCUUGAGCCAUCUAGGGGUCGCUGGAACAAACGGUGGAGCGGUGAAAUGCGUAGAUAUCGUUUGGAACGCCAAUGGUGAAAACAGGCGACUGGGGAUGUGCUGACGCUGAGACACGAAAGCCAGGGGAGCAAACGGG